rnacentral:rRNA from 1 species
CCUACGGGAGGCAGCAGUGGGGAAUAUUGCACAAUGGGGGAAACCCUGAUGCAGCGACGCCGCGUGAGUGAAGAAGUAUUUCGGUACGUAAAGCUCUAUCAGCAGGGAAGAAAAUGACGGUAACUGAACAAGAAACCCCGGGUAACUACCGUCCCACAGCCGCGGGAAUACGUAGGGGGCAAGCGGUAUCCGGAUUUACUGGGUGGAAAGGGUGCGUAGACUGCAGCACAAGGCUGGAGUGCAAUGCCGGGGCUUAACCCCGGAGCUGCUUUGGAAACUGUGCAGCUUGAGUGCAGGAGGGGUAAGUGGAAUUCCUGGUGUAGCGGUGAAAUGCGUAGAUAUUAGGAGGAACACCGGUGGCGAAGGCGGCUUUCUGGACUGUAACUGACGUUGAGGCUCGAAAGCGUGGGGAGCAAACAGGAUUAGAUACCCCUGUAGUC